rnacentral:tRNA from 1 species
AAGAGCUCGAUUUAGUCUGGAAGGAGUUAGGUAUAGCUAACCAAUUUAAGGGUGCAAAUCCCUUAGCUCUUA